GAAACGAUCUCGAUGAUGGAUUUCACGAUUGGGUUUUGUCUUGCAGGUUUGGUUGUGGUUGCAGGUGGUGGAGAAACUGCGUCACUCGCAGUUUGGAUUUGGGACGAAGAUGAUGCAAGAAAACUACAAUUAGGGUUUUUUCGAUUGGGGAUUUCUUGCGAUGACAAUGGGUAACGAUUUGGAUUUCUGAAUGAUGUCUAUAUGGUGGUUGUGGUUUUUG
rnacentral:lncRNA from 1 species